rnacentral:rRNA from 1 species
CAGCAGCCACGGUAAUACAGAGGGUGCGAGCGUUAAUCGGAUUUACUGGGCGUAAAGCGUGCGUAGGCGGCUUUUUAAGUCGGAUGUGAAAUCCCUGAGCUUAACUUAGGAAUUGCAUUCGAUACUGGGAAGCUAGAGUAUGGGAGAGGAUGGUAGAAUUCCAGGUGUAGCGGUGAAAUGCGUAGAGAUCUGGAGUAAUACCGAUGGCGAAGGCAGCCAUCUGGCCUAAUACUGACGCUGAGGUACGAAAGCAUGGGGAGCAAACAGGAUUAGAUACCCCCGUAGUCCCUGUCUCUUAUAU